AGAACGAACGCUGGCGGCAUGCCUAAUACAUGCAAGUCGAACGAACACUUCGGUGUUAGUGGCGCACGGGUGCGUAACGCGUGGGAAUCUGCCCUUGGGUUCGGAAUAACAGUUGGAAACGACUGCUAAUACCGGAUGAUGACGAAAGUCCAAAGAUUUAUCGCCCAGGGAUGAGCCCGCGUAGGAUUAGCUAGUUGGUGAGGUAAAGGCUCACCAAGGCGACGAUCCUUAGCUGGUCUGAGAGGAUGAUCAGCCACACUGGGACUGAGACACGGCCCAGACUCCUACGGGAGCAGCAGUAGGGAAUUUGGACAAUGGGACGAAAGCCUGAUCCAGCAAUGCCGCGUGCAGGAAGAAGGCCUU
rnacentral:rRNA from 1 species